CUGGCAUGAGCAUUUUGCUUUGGGACCAAUGCAGCACACACAGCUGUCACCAGGGCCACAAGGAAGCAGCAUUGUCCUCUCAAAGCUCCAUUGAAGUAUCCAG
rnacentral:lncRNA from 12 species